GUUAAGUUGCAGGGUAUAGACCCGAAACCCGGUGAUCUAGCCAUGGGCAGGUUGAAGGUUGGGUAACACUAACUGGAGGACCGAACCGACUAAUGUUGAAAAAUUAGCGGAUGACCUGUGGCUGGGGGUGAAAGGCCAAUCAAACCGGGAGAUAGCUGGUUCUCCCCGAAAGCUAUUUAGGUAGCGCCUCGUGAAUUCAUCUCCGGGGGUAGAGCACUGUUUCGGCUAGGGGGCCAUCCCGGCUUACCAACCCGAUGCAAACUGCGAAUACCGGAGAAUGUUAUCACGGGAGACACACGGCGGGUGCUAACGUCCGUCGUGAAGAGGGAAACAACCCAGACCGCCAGCUAAGGUCCCAAAGUCAUGGUUAAGUGGGAAACGAUGUGGGAAGGCCCAGACAGCCAGGAUGUUGGCUUAGAAGCAGCCAUCAUUUAAAGAAAGCGUAAUAGCUCACUGGUCGAGUCGGCCUGCGCGGAAGAUGUAACGGGGCUAAACCAUGCACCGAAGCUGCGGCAGCGACACUGUGUGUUGUUGGGUAGGGGAGCGUUCUGUAAGCCUGUGAAGGUGUGUCGUGAGGCAUGCUGGAGGUAUCAGAAGUGCGAAUGCUGACAUAAGUAACGAUAAAGCGGGUGAAAAGCCCGCUCGCCGGAAGACCAAGGGUUCCUGUCCAACGUUAAUCGGGGCAGGGUGAGUCGACCCCUAAGGCGAGGCCGAAAGGCGUAGUCGAUGGGAAACGGGUUAAUAUUCCCGUACUUGGUGUUACUGCGAAGGGGGGACGGAGAAGGCUAUGUUGGCCGGGCGACGGUUGUCCCGGUUUAAGCGUGUAGGUGUGUGUUCCAGGUAAAUCCGGUUCACUUUAACACUGAGGCGUGACGACGAGGCACUACGGUGCUGAAGCAACAAAUGCCCUGCUUCCAGGAAAAGCCUCUAAGCAUCAGGUAACAUCAAAUCGUACCCCAAACCGACACAGGUGGUCAGGUAGAGAAUACCAAGGCGCUUGAGAGAACUCGGGUGAAGGAACUAGGCAAAAUGGUGCCGUAACUUCGGGAGAAGGCACGCUGACACGUAGGUGAAGUGAUUUACUCAUGGAGCUGAAGUCAGUCGAAGAUACCAGCUGGCUGCAACUGUUUAUUAAAAACACAGCACUGUGCAAACACGAAAGUGGACGUAUACGGUGUGACGCCUGCCCGGUGCCGGAAGGUUAAUUGAUGGGGUCAGCGCAAGCGAAGCUCCUGAUCGAAGCCCCGGUAAACGGCGGCCGUAACUAUAACGGUCCUAAGGUAGCGAAAUUCCUUGUCGGGUAAGUUCCGACCUGCACGAAUGGCGUAAUGAUGGCCAGGCUGUCUCCACCCGAGACUCAGUGAAAUUGAACUCGCUGUGAAGAUGCAGUGUACCCGCGGCAAGACGGAAAGACCCCGUGAACCUUUACUAUAGCUUGACACUGAACAUUGAGCCUUGAUGUGUAGGAUAGGUGGGAGGCUUUGAAGUGUGGACGCCAGUCUGCAUGGAGCCGACCUUGAAAUACCACCCUUUAAUGUUUGAUGUUCUAACGUGGACCCGUUACCCGGGUUGCGGACAGUGUCUGGUGGGUAGUUUGACUGGGGCGGUCUCCUCCUAAAGAGUAACGGAGGAGCACGA
rnacentral:rRNA from 2 species